AUUCCCUGAUUUCCAAUCGACCGAUCUGAACAUGUACAACAUGCUGAAAUAGGGUCGUGGCUCCGCCCUUGGAUUUGACAAUUUUUUUUUGUUUUUGAACGUGCGAGAAAAAAGUUUUAUUUAGUUGCUGACUUGGCCAACAUGGUACGAAAUUGCUACGCACUCGAUGUCGCCUCAGACUCGAGCUCCUAGAGGCGCUUCGACGGGCACGCUUGCUCCAUGCGCAGUGGCGCCGAAGACGUGUCCGCACUUUGAACCGAACUAACGACGCUCUUGGGGAAAAAAAACACCUGCCGCGGCCGCCCUCACUCUAGUCUGGACGCAAAUUCUCAGGCUCCGUGACAGGUAUUUCUGGGAAAAACCUUACCCUUAAAACAUCGCCAAAUGUCGUAUUGGCAGGUAGCGUUAUUUUCGUCGGAACAGUCUUGAUGUUGCACAUCAUUUCCAGAAUUCUGUGGGGGUAAGGCGACGCCUCGGCGAGAUGCAGAUUCACCCCGAGACGGGAGAGGUAGACCCACGUCGAGAAGCACUCGUACAUGUGUGUACAUAAUUCAAAAAAAAAAACGGCCGUCCGAGAUAUGAGGAUCUGUGCGCGCAAAGAAUGCAAAUGCGGACUUAUUUUUUUUUUAUACGGUGCGCGUCUCCAGGAGCAUGUGAAGCGUUGCGGUUUUGGGGUUGAGGUUCGGCUUUUGCACGAGUUUUUUUUUCUUGCUUCUGAAUUUGCGUUGCGCAUUUUUUACGUCGAGGAUGGUCUUUCAGUGUUCGUCAUCUUGGAAAGAUCGCCGCUUUGGUACGGACAGUUUGCUACGAUUCGGUCUCUCGAUUGAGACUGAAUGAAGCGAGAGACGAAGGCCAAGGGGUCUUUGAUGUAUUCGAAGUAGAAGGCCUGCUUUCUUUUUUUCUCUCUGAUCAGCUCUAGCAAUUUAGCGAUUUCUUGAUCGAGUUGUUGAAUUUCGGCUUGAAAUUUGGUCCGCACGUCAGGCGCCUUAUUGUCUUGCGUGUUCACGACAACCGGUAGGUCGAAGUGAAGCUGCCGAAUAGCAGAUGGAUCAUCUCCUGCGCUCGAGAUGGUGUAGACGAGAUGAACGGGCUCCGGAUCGCGGAGAUGCUGCUGAGCGAGCUCUGGAAGGAUUUCGUAGUUGAAGGAAUCCAUUUGGAGCGCGUCUCGAAGCGGCGCGUCGCAGAUGACGUGCGACUUUUGACUGGCGUCUUGGAGCUUGUGGAGGCGGACGUAGUUCCACAGAUAGGUGAUCAUGCUCGUCUUGCUUACAUAGGGUUCUUGUAUGCCGAGGAGUUGGCGCAGAGGCGGCGAAGGGAUGAAAAGGCCGGGAGAGAAGUUGGUAAAGUGAAGGGAUGAAAAGGCCGGGAGAGAAGUUGGUAAAGUGGAAGAAGAUGUGAAGCACAGACUUUGCAGAUGCGGUAGUUCUCCUCAGCUGGAAUCCACAGACGUCUUUAUCGGAGAGGUCGGGCGUCCACUCGAUCAGGGACUGGUCUCCGAAUUCAGACGGGUCUAGUUGAAUAUCGAUUUUUUUAAGGAAUGAAGAAAAACUGGGCGAAUCUUGUUGUGCGUCUUGAUCGACGAGAGCUCCUUCUACGUAUAGGGUCCAUGUGGUGGCGGAUGGCAGAUAAAGCGCCCGCGUGUCCGGAGAGGAAAGAUGACCGGGCAAAAAGGCCGAAGAGUUAGGUUGAACGCGGUAGGCCGCAGCUUGCUGGAGGCGAUUCGGCUGAACAGCAGACUGGUCCGCCGAAUCGCCAACGGGUAGCUGGGAAAACGGAGACUCGUGCGCAGAAGUCGGUACGCUAGGCGGUAUGUAUGGGGGCGUUUGUAUGAGGAGGUUUAAAGGGGGUGUGUGUGCAUAGUGCGUGGGCAAUAUUGGUGUAGCACUGGAUUGUAUUUUUGUUGGAGUGCCGGUGGUCUGUUGUGGGUAGAAUGGUGAUGUAUUGGCCGGUAUGGUGCCACUGAUGGAUGGCAGAUCUUGACUACUGCUAUUGUGAUGCACGUUGGCCGCACUUGCUGUUAUGUGAUAAGAGGGCUGCGCCGAAUCGGUCAACAAGUUGACAUUUUCUUGAAACGGUUCCAAUUUAUGGUAUAACUUGACACGCAGGGUUUUGGUCAGAGUUCCCGUUUGUCUUCUGUGGUAGUCGUCAAUUUGUCUUAGCCGUUUCUUCAGGUUGACUUCGACCUUGUCCUCGAGCUCCAAGAGCGUCCGGAGGGCAGGUGAGAUGCUUGCAAGUUCGUGCACGUCGUACACACAGUGCUGCAUUUGACAGGUCUGCUUCGAAGGCUCUUCUGAUUCAGUUGGCCCCCGAGCUUGAUAGGGCAGCUGCGCGCCAUGUGGCGGGUUUCCAAGGGGAUUAGGCGCGUGUGUAUAGUUGGCAGGUGGGUCGGGCUCGCCGGGUGGGUUGAAAGAGGGUUUUUUGGUGUGCACCCGCUUGGAGAGAGAAGGGCGGAUCCCUAGAAGGGACAGUCGGAGGAGGAUCCCUCAAAUGGCUGCCGGAAUCCAUUCAAAAAAAGACAUGAAUAAGACGCUCGACCGGGGUGACAAGAGUUGUUCGAGAAACUUGCAAGCGCGGCGUUUGUAUGCGUGCGU